GCAUUAAUGGGGUAGUGGCAACCUGGGUCGUUGCCAUGGACAGCAGAUAUGUGAUGGUUCGACCCGCCGGGGGUUCGAUUCCCUCUUAAUGCA